GUGGGGAAUAUUGGACAAUGGGCGAAAGCCUGAUCCAGCCAUGCCGCGUGUGUGAAGAAGGUCUUCGGAUUGUAAAGCACUUUAAGUUGGGAGGAAGGGCAGUAAGUUAAUACCUUGCUGUUUUGACGUUACCGACAGAAUAAGCACCGGCUAACUUCGUGCCAGCAGCCGCGGUAAUACGAAGGGUGCAAGCGUUAAUCGGAAUUACUGGGCGUAAAGCGCGCGUAGGUGGUUUUGUAAGUUGGAGGUGAAAUCCCCUGGCUCAACCUGGGAACUGCCUCCAAAACUGCAUGACUAGAGUACGGUAGAGGGUAGUGGAAUUUCCUGUGUAGCGGUGAAAUGCGUAGAUAUAGGAAGGAACACCAGUGGCGAAGGCGACUACCUGGACUGAUACUGACACUGAGGUGCGAAAGCGUGGGGAGCAAACAGGAUUAGAUACCCGGGUAGUCC
rnacentral:rRNA from 1 species